GAUGAAGAACGUAGCGAAAUGUGAUAAGUAAUGUGAAUUGCAGAAUUCAGUGAAUCAUCGAAUCUUUGAACGCACAUUGCGCCCCCUGGUAUUCCGGGGGGCAUGCCUGUCCGAGCGUCAUUACAACCCUCAAGCUCAGCUUGGUGUUGGGCCCCGCCGCCCCGGCGGGCCCUAAAGUCAGUGGCGGUGCCGUCCGGCUCCGAGCGUAGUAAUUCUUCUCGCUCUGGAGGUCCGGUCGUGUGCUCGCCAGCAACCCCCAAUUUUUUUCAGGUUGACCUCGGAUCAGGUAGGGAUACCCGCUGAACUUAAGCAUAUCAAUAAGCGGAGGA
rnacentral:misc_RNA from 1 species